UUCAACACAAGCAAUUAAAUAUUAAUAAUUGAUGAAUAGACAUGUAAUGAAAAUAUAAUUGAAAUUGUCAAUGGCAAUAAAUGACAACAAAUAUAGAUUUAUACAAGUGGAAAAUUCAUUCAAAAUAGUCAUUCUAAUUAAAAAAUUCUACAAUAUAUAAUCUAACAAGACAUUUCUUAUAAAACAACUAUGAAAAGAUAGUAACGUAAAGAUGCAUAGCAUACUUCUUGCACGUACUUAUAUACUAUGAAACGGCAAUAAAGAGGAAAGAGAAAGAAUGCAACGUAUCUGCUACGUGACCAAAUUAACAUUAAGUCCAAAAGAAACAGCUAUAUUGGAUUCAUGGACAGGAAAUUGAUUCGUAACUACGUAAAUCAAUUGAAACGCCCAUUUCUUCUCUUUUUAUUAUCGUAUAUUCUUGCGGUUGUCAUCAAGAAUUCGAAGAACCGCAGCGAAUCGUGAAAGCAGACACUGGUACGUGAUCGAAAUGCCAUAACUUUGGCACGAGAUCCAUGAAUACCAGCAAAAUUCGUGACGGAACUCGAAUACGUUGAUCGAACGACUCCUUGCGCUUAUCGCACAUUUAUGAAAUUCUGGUUCUUACUGGAUAUACCUGAUCGUAUGUUUUUUCAAUUAAUACGCUCUAAUCCUGUAUGCUUGUUUAUUUGAAACGAAGAUGCUUCCAAUGAUUUUUGCAAAGUAUAAUUUGUAAAUGAAUAUAGUCUAUAAAAUGUUGAACUACGAAAUGCGAGAUAUAGAAUAUGCAAAAGAUGAAAUAAGAUGGAGAUUAUAGAAGUAUUAAGAUUGUUUGAAAAUUCAUACGAUUACAUAAAAUGCACUUUUAUUAGAUUUCAUAAUCCUAAUUUCAAAUCGUGAUAUUUUUUAAAAGAAAGAUUAUUUGGUUUCAAAUAUAUAUGCAAGUACAAAAUGAGAUGUGAAUAUUCAGUAAUACUCAUAAGCAAUAAAGAUAAAUAAUAUUUAUUUUUUUGUUAAUAUUGCAAUCAUAGUAUUUUCUAUCGGUC